AAUUGAAGCAGUGGAUAGACCACACGUCAGAGCCCUAACCACCAGACUACAGCAUUGGUUUUGUUCCCAGGCCCAAAGCGGACUUGAAUGUGGAUCAUCCAUGUCACCUACUAAGGAGCACUUAAGAAAGAAAAAACCAUCCCUAUGUGCCAUGUUGUGAGAACUUAAUAAUACAACUAUUGCUCUUUUAAUCUUCCCUUUGUGCCAUCAACUGUCUGUUCCCAUUCAGUUAUUCUGCUUAAGAAUAUUUACAAUAGCCUCUUAUCUACCCUUUUUGUUUUAAAAGUCAUAUUUGAGUAAUCUCUAUAGAAUAUUGUUCCAAACCACAGUUGAUAUUAUCAGCUAUCUGCCGUCCUUUAUCUGCGGUGAAAUAAAAGCAAAGGGAGUAAGUGGGUGGGUAUGAAAUAUACUGCUAAAGUGAUCCAUUUUCUCUUUCUUGUUGAUACUUACUGUGAAAUAUAUCUGGCCAUAAAAUCCUGGAACAGCUCUGAAUACAGGGCAGACAACAAGAAGAAGCAUGCAUGCUUGAGAGUAAAGACUUAACCUGCCAAGAUGAAAAUGAGGAACACAGGCAAUUCAAACGAGAAAAAUGGUCCACACGAGAGGUGGCUGUAUUCUGGAAAUUUUCCACCUGGUAGCUGUAAUGCAGGCCACACAUUUUUAUGAACUCCCAUCUUUGGACUCAAUGGACUGGAUCCCUAGCAUGGACCUGCUCUGCAAAUCAAUCUUGGAGCUUUGGCUGCAAACCAGGCAAUGAGUAUGUGAUAAGUAGAUCUCCUUCCAUAACUAUGGUCUGAGCAUAAGAAUACAUUUGAUUUUAUUUCUAUGUUAUUAAAAAAUAGAGCCUCCAGCUACUGGCUUUAAGUUGUCUGGUAGAUUCUUCCUGUUCAGAGAAGUGUUUUUUAAUUUAAAAUGCUCAAGAAAACAUCUUGUAAAUUAAUUUAUUUUAAUAGACAACAUUUUCAUUGUUCAGUUACAUCAAAGUGUCUCUGACCAGAACUAAAUCAGCAAGACUUGCCUGAAGUAGCUUGUAACUAUAUUGUAUGUCUCCUAUACAAUGAGCAAUAAACUAGCAAGUUAGAGCUUUUUUCUUUCA
rnacentral:lncRNA from 1 species